ensembl:miRNA Mir3108 microRNA 3108
CACAACCAGGGUCUCUAAAGCUAGACGUUCCGGAGAAUUUUUUUAUUUCGGCGUCUAGGUCUAGAGUCUCAAGGAAGUG